rnacentral:tRNA from 1 species
GCGAGUGACACAAGCUUGUGCUCACGGGAAGAGCAUCUGCUUGGUAUGCAGAACAUCCCAGGUUCAAUCCCUGCCACUUCCA